GAUGAACGCUGGCGGCGUGCCUAACACAUGCAAGUCGAACGGAGAUUACGGACGUUGGUCUUCUGAUGGAAUCGCGUACUUCUUAGUAGCGGAUGGGUGAGCAACGCGUUAGCAACCUGCCCUUUACAGAGGCGUAGCAGCUGGAAACGGCUGGUAAGACCUCACAAGUUGGUUAAAUCGCAUGAUCUGAUCGUGAACUGAGCAAUCAGGUAUAGGAGUGUUCGGCGUUCGAUUAGCGAGGUGGCAGGGUAAAAGCCUAGCAAAGCGCCGACCGGUAGCCGGAAUGGGGAGUCGGACCGCAACAUUGGGGCUGGGACACGGACCAAACUCCUACGGAAGGCCGGAGUGGGGGAUAUUGAACGACGGAGGAGAGUAGGAUGCAGCGGCGUCGUGUGGGUGAAGAGGAAUUUAGGUAUGUAAAGCUCUAUGGGAAGUGAAGAUGGUGACGGUACCUGACCAAGAAGCCCCGGCUAACUACGUG
rnacentral:rRNA from 1 species